rnacentral:rRNA from 1 species
CACGUAUUUAGCCGGAGCUUCUUAGUCAGGUACCGUCAUUUUCUUCCCUGCUGAUAGAGCUUUACAUACCGAAAUACUUCUUCGCUCACGCGGCGUCGCUGCAUCAGGCUUGCGCCCAUUGUGCAAUAUUCCCCACUGCUGCCUCCCGUAGGAGUUUGGGCCGUGUCUCAGUCCCAAUGUGGCCGGUCACCCUCUCAGGUCGGCUAUGGAUCGUCGGCUUGGUGAGCCGUUACCUCACCAACUACCUAAUCCAACGCGGGCCCAUCUUACACCACCGGAGUUUUUCACACAGAAACAUGCGUUCCCGUGCGCUUAUGCGGUAUUAGCAGUCAUUUCUAACUGUUGUCCCCCUGUGUAAGGCAGGUUGCCCACGCGUUACUCACCCGUCCGCCACUCAGUCAUUUUAAAAUCCACCCGAAAGUCUCAUUUAAAAUACUUCGUUCGACUUGCAUGUGUUAAGCACGCCGCCAGCGUUCAUCCUGAGCCAGGAUCAAACUCU